ensembl:rRNA 5S_rRNA 5S ribosomal RNA
CCUCGGCGCAAUAGCAGCCUGAGGGCACCGCAGCCCGGAAGCUAAGCAAGGUCAGGCCUGACUGUUGCUUGGAUGGGGGACUGCCUGGGGAAACUGGUGGCUAGAGGC